rnacentral:rRNA from 1 species
UGGGGAAUAUUGCACAAUGGGCGCAAGCCUGAUGCAGCCAUGCCGCGUGUGUGAAGAAGGCCUUCGGGUUGUAAAGCACUUUCAGCGGGGAGGAAGGGUUCAGUGUUAAUAGCACUGUUCAUUGACGUUACUCGCAGAAGAAGCACCGGCUAACUCCGUGCCAGCAGCCGCGGUAAUACGGAGGGUGCAAGCGUUAAUCGGAAUUACUGGGCGUAAAGCGCACGCAGGCGGUUUGUUAAGUCAGAUGUGAAAUCCCCGCGCUUAACGUGGGAACUGCAUUUGAAACUGGCAAGCUAGAGUCUUGUAGAGGGGGGUAGAAUUCCAGGUGUAGCGGUGAAAUGCGUAGAGAUCUGGAGGAAUACCGGUGGCGAAGGCGGCCCCCUGGACAAAGACUGACGCUCCAGGUGCG